GCCGGGCAUGGUGGUGCGUGCCUGUAAUCCUAGCUACUUGGGAGGCUGAGGUGGGAGAAUUGCUUGAGCCUGGGAGGCAGAGGUUGCAGUGAGCUGAGAUUACGCCACUACACUCCAGCCUGGGCGACAGAGUGAAACUCCAUCUCAA
ensembl:misc_RNA Metazoa_SRP Metazoan signal recognition particle RNA